ensembl:lncRNA
GCGGCCUUUUAAAGGGGCAGCGCGCCUUUUCGGGGCUCCGGCUCCCCGCCCCAGCCCGGGCGCAGGUCCUGCGCGCCGCCCGCGAACUGCUGCGGGGGGCGAAGGAAGGCGCGCUCUUGGCUCAAUUUGACUAUUGUUCUUUUCCCGGCUGGGUCCCUAAUGAGUAAGAUGAGCUUCCGGGUGUCGCUUGAAAUCCCUUGGGUCUGCCUGCAAAUACGGCCUGUGUUAGGUGCGGUGGCAUUCCGAAUCAACGCGCGUCGCAACCUGAUUCUGUCCGACAGCUCCAGGCAGAUUGUUUACCACUGGGCCCCCUGGGAAACUUGAAGACUGGUGGACAAACUGUAUCAAUACAACAUCAACAUUAUAAUCUCCUAGGAAGAUCUCAGCUCAUACUGGCUUUGAUUUUCACCUGACCAGUGAAAGGAACUGUGACCACAGGCCAACAGAGAAGAAACUAGGAAUCGUUUCUCUUACUCUCAGUGAGUCAGCCCAACUUUGGAACCAACAAAGAAGCCUUCAGCCUCAAAAAGGAGAAAAGAAAAAGUGGUCAGGGAAAUGGAAACAAUCUAUCAUGGUAGAACAACUUUGUUGUUGUCAGGAGGAAGAGAGGCAACCACAAUUCAAGAGGGAAGAAGAUGGACUUAGAAGUGAAAGUCAUAAUAGUGACUUGGCUACCAACACGUGCUGCACUUGGUGCUGGCUUUCAAUCAUAGAUGAGACAUGAAACCUGUCCCUCCAGAAGAAUGAGAAUUAGAGCCGAUUUGUGGCUCCAUGAGAACUGGCUAAAGAAGAACUUAAAGAUCACUGGACUAGAGCAGAUGAUCCAGGGCACACCAGGAGAAAUAUGAACUCUGGCUGGUUCAAGGAGAAGAGAGAAAGAGGAAACAAAACCACAUUUUCCAAAGAGUGUUCGUUAGACCACGAUCCAGUAAUGUGUUCCAUGAAUAAAGUUUUCUUGGACAAACAGCUUAACAAACACUCCACAACACUGUCUUUGCUUGGUAUCCAGUGAGUAAAAAUUUCUGGAUAAUUUCUCAUUAUCAAAAGACAAAAUAUAUUAAAAUUUAUUUCUAAUUCCAACAAUGACUAUUGAUUCUCCAGCUGCACAAGAAGGAUCAGCCUUGCUUAGACUUUUCCACUCAUUGGUCCCAAGUUAUCCCCAGUUGAGUCACUCAGUCAUGUCCAACUCUUUAUGACUCCAUGGACUGCAGCACACCAGGCCUCCCUGUCCAUCACCAACUCCUGGAGCUUGCUCAAACUCAUUUCCAUCGAGGGUGAUACCACCCAACCAUCUCAUCCUCUGUGAUCCCUUUCUGCCUUCAAUCUUUCCCAGCAUCAAGGUCUCUUCCAAUGA